UUGACCUCGGAUCAGGUAGGAGUUACCCGCUGAACUUAAGCAUAUCAAUAAGCGGAGGAAAAGAAACCAACCGGGAUUGCCUCAGUAACGGCGAGUGAAGCGGCAAGAGCUCAAAUUUGAAAUCUGGCCCCUUUGGGGUCCGAGUUGUAAUUUGCAGAGGAUGCUUCGGGUGCGGUCCCCGUCUAAGUGCCCUGGAACGGGCCGUCAUAGAGGGUGAGAAUCCCGUCUGGGAUGGGCGGCCGCGCCCGUGUGAAGCUCCUUCGACGAGUCGAGUUGUUUGGGAAUGCAGCUCUAAGCGGGUGGUAAAUUUCAUCUAAAGCUAAAUACUGGCCGGAGACCGAUAGCGCACAAGUAGAGUGAUCGAAAGAUGAAAAGCACUUUGAAAAGAGAGUUAAACAGCACGUGAAAUUGUUGAAAGGGAAGCGUUGUCCACCAGACUCGCCCGGGGGGGUUCAGCCGGCACCUGUGCCGGUGUACUCCUCUCCGGGCGGGCCAGCAUCGGUUUGGGCGGCUGGUGAAAGGCCCCGGGAAUGUACCACCCUCCGGGGUGCCUUAUAGCCCGG
rnacentral:rRNA from 1 species